rnacentral:rRNA from 1 species
UACGUAGGGACCAAGCGUUGUUCGGAUUUACUGGGCGUAAAGGGCGCGUAGGCGGCUUAACAAGUCACUUGUGAAAUCUCCGGGCUUAACUCGGAACGGCCAAGUGAAACUGUCAAGCUAGAGUGCGGAAGGGGCAAUCGGAAUUCUUGGUGUAGCGGUGAAAUGCGUAGAUAUCAAGAGGAACACCUGAGGUGAAGACGGGUUGCU